GAUGAACGCUGACAGAAUGCUUAACACAUGCAAGUCUUUGGCGAAGCUGUGCUUGCACAGCCUAGCCAAGGCGGACGGGUGAGUAACGCGUAAGGAACUUGCCCUGCAGUCAGGGAUAACAGACGGAAACGACUGAUAAGACCUGGUAAAGUCAGGCGGACUCAUGUCCAGCCUGAUGAAAAGAGAUGCUGCAGGAGAGCCUUGCGUCCUAUUAGCUUGUUGGUGGGGUAACGGCCCACCAAGGCGAUGAUAGGUAGCCGGCCUGAGAGGGUGGACGGCCACAAGGGGACUGAGAUACGGCCCUUACUCCUACGGGAGGCAGCAGUGGGGAAUAUUGGACAAUGGGGGCAACCCUGAUCCAGCAAUUCUGUGUGCACGAUGAAGGUUUUCGGAGUGUAAAGUGCUUUCAGCAGGGAAGAAAAAAAUGACGGUACCUACAGAAGAAGCGACGGCUAAAUACGUG
rnacentral:rRNA from 1 species